rnacentral:lncRNA from 1 species
AAAUCAUUUAAUCUCUUUUUUUCUCUCUCUACAAGUGAAUAUUUAAAGACGAUAUUUUCAUAACAUUUAGCUUUUGUUACAAAACAAACCACCCCAAGAGCUAGUGGCUUAAAAGAUAAUUUUAAAAAAGAUAAAUAUUUAUAAUUUCUUAUUAUUCGGCUGGCUGUUCUUCCGGUCGGGGUAAGCUUGGCGGAGAUUGGUUCAUCCCAGAGGGCCUCAUUCACACGUCUGGCUGUUGGCACUAUGUCAGGUGAGGCAGGGCAUAACUUGGCCAUGUGUCCCUCAUCAUCCAGCAAGCUAGCCUGGGCUCAUUCACAUGGUGUGAUUGCAGAGUUUCCAAGAAAAACACACCAAUACUUUUCAAGUCUCUGCUUAUAUCACAUUUGCUAUUGUCCCAUUAACCAAAGCAAGGCACAUGGUUAAGCCAAGAGUCAGUGUGGGAGGGAAAUGCUCAAGGACAUGGAGAGAGGGAGGAAAUUAUAACAGUCCUUUUUGCAAAUAAUCUCCCACAACUAUUAAUGUAUUUCUAAUUAUGUGAAUUCAUCUUCUGAGUUGCUCAUGUUAGAAACCUCAAAGUUAUUUUCUGCCUCUUUUUUCUCUCAUAGAGUAAAAUGGGAAAUUAUUUAAUUAGCUAAGUAAAAAUGUAUUUUGUGGAAAAUCAUUUCCUCUCAGUACUUUAAUAAUCUAAAUAUUAAUAUAAACUUUGAUCACAGACCCAGUACUGUUUUGAUUAAUUAUACUCAGAAACUGGAAAAGAAAGAACAUAAUUGGCAGACUAAAAUAUGAAAUUUAUUCAAAUCCCUUAUAACAAAACAUGGCUUAAUAUACCAGUAAUACGUUUCAUUUUAUUUGUUUUCUUACAAAUAUGCAAAGAGGUAAUCACCAAUAAGUGGUAGUAUUUAAACACUUGGAAAAAAUAUUAAGCAAUACUCUUGUUGUAGCUAAUUGUGCAUAUGCAUCUUAUCUGAAGUUGGCAGCAAGUGAAAUUAAAUGGUUUUCCAAAUGACUGCAUUGCCAAUCCACCUUCUUUCAGCUAAUUGACUGAUUUUGGUCAUUGCUGCCUCCCAAGGGGGUCACUUGCACUGACGUGGAGUAUUGACAAUCCCGUAUGGCACUAAAGCUUGCUACAACCAUCGGUUGGUGCAACCCCACAGGGGGCCUUUUAGAAAGCACUGAAUAGGGAUCCUUUCCUGUUGAGAGAGAUGUGGAAUGGGAUACAGGCACGGCAUUGCAGAGAGGAAUGCUGUUGGACCCCACUCAAACAGCCUCAUAACAAGUCUGGGCCUUGGUUUAUUCAUCUGGAAAACAGGAGAUCGCCUUGAAAGUCUUCUCGCAAUCUGUGGCUCUCUGAGUCCACGUGAGCUCUGCCGGCGUAAUAGAAUCAGCACACUGUUAACCACAGAAAUGGAGGAAGGAGCCCUGAACACCCCAAUUCUGGUUAAAACAGGAGGCAAGAGCAAUCACAACCAGUGUCUAGUAACAUGUUUACCAUUCUGCAGACACAAAUCCAAAGUUCAAGCGACACAAGCAUAACAGCAGGGUCGGAAUCCAAAACUUCGCAUACACCAAAAGGCUACAGUCAUCUGUGACUGGUGUUGGUUCCAGAAUUGAGCCUUGAUUGUUUUUCAAAUGUUGGAAAAUGUCUGUGCAGCAUCUUGUGGUUGAAAUGCCUGCUCACCUGCUUUCUGAGGUCUGUCAGGUUGACAAGCUCAGGAGGGAGUCUCCGCCACUUUUUGAGCCCCAGAUCUCUGAGAAUCUGUAACAGUCCCAGGUGCAGUCAGUUGUCCAUGCAACGUGCAUAUGCACCUCACAUAUGCAAACAAUUAAGAAGGCUUCCUGGGUCUCAGGCGCCAGGGGAAACCUGCUUGUCCGGCCAACCCCUCACUCUCCUUCCUGUUUCUGACCUGCGUCAUAACACCACUCGUCGUCUCAACCCUAGUUGGCACCCACGCCAGUCAAGCCACUCGACUUGAAAGUAAACUCCUCAUCUCCAGUUGUAGGUCCUUCUGGCUGUGCUGUGUGGGAUGCCACCUCAGCAUGGCCUGAUGAGUGGUGCUAGAUCUGCGCCCAGGAUCCAAACUAGUGAAACACUGGACCACUGAAGUGGAGCGCAUAAACUUAACCACUCAGCAUGGGCCUGGCCCCACCAUUUCUUUUUUCUGGCGUUUGCUUUGACUGCCUUCCAAGGUGGUGUGCAAUGAAGCCGACAGGAGGCCAAUGCGGAGGGGCUCCAUGAGAGGCAGUUGGUACCGCCUUCUUUCUUCAGUCGCUUGUUUUUCUGCUGUGACCUUCUGGGAGAGGGAUGAAGGAGAGAGAAUUAGGCAGGAAAAGGCGGUGAGGCUGGGGCCUGUGGUGUAUUGCAAAACCAGCCUCAGAUCCUUUCCAUCCCUGUGUGCGUGCGCCUGCUCAGUGCGGCCUCGCAGAUCCUCCCGUGCAGAGGUGGCUUUUACUUUUCCACCUUCUGCAUCUGGGCUGCUCUUGUGACCCAGCCACCUGACCCAAGCAGAGGCUUAAAAGCCCCUGCCCUGGGACUCGCCUUCUCCCUGCACUUGGAACCCUGAGGGCACCACGUGAAGGAGCCUGAGCUAGCCUGCUGGAUGAUGAGAGACACAUGCGUGGCAAAGCCAUCCUCAUUGCCUGGGCUGACACAGAACCAAUUGUGAGACUUGUGAGCCCAUCCUAGCCCAUCCGUGCCCUACUGAGCCACCAGCUGGCCCCAGGCAGAGCAUGAGCUCCACAGAGGUCAGGGAAGUGGCCCAGGCAAAAACUGCCCCGUCAGCCCAGAGAAGAAUGAGGAGGAAUACCCAUUGGUUGUUUUGAGCCACUCGAUUCUAGGAAGGCUUGGUCUGAGCAAAAGCGAACUGUGACAGGCCCGUCCCCAGCCAUGCUGUAUUUGGACUCUGACGUCCUGACCCAGCAUCACUCCACAUGGAGAGCUACCUCACUUACUCAAAUGUACAGCUUCUCCUGGCUUCCCUCUUGGUCAGCCGGGCCCCAGCCACUUAUCACUUGCUGAAAUA